rnacentral:rRNA from 1 species
AGUGAACGCUGGCGGUAGGCCUAACACAUGCAAGUCGAACGGAAGCACAGUAAGAGCUUGCUCUUACGGGUGGCGAGUGGCGGACGGGUGAGGAAUACAUCGGAAUCUACUUUUUCGUGGGGGAUAACGUAGGGAAACUUACGCUAAUACCGCAUACGAUCUACGGGUGAAAGCAGGGGAUCAUCGGACCUUGCGCGAUUGAAUGAGCCGAUGUCGGAUUAGCUAGUUGGCGGGGUAAAGGCCCACCAAGGCAACGAUCCGUAGCUGGUCUGAGAGGAUGAUCAGCCACACUGGAACUGAGACACGGUCCAGACUCCUACGGGAGGCAGCAGUGGGGAAUAUUGGACAAUGGGCGCAAGCCUGAUCCAGCCAUACCGCGUGGGUGAAGAAGGCCUUCGGGUUGUAAAGCCCUUUUGUUGGGAAAGAAAAGCAGCAGGUUAAUACCCCGCUGUUCUGACGGUACCCAAAGAAUAAGCACCGGCUAACUUCGUG